rnacentral:lncRNA from 1 species
AAAAAAAAAAGACUUUGCAAAGAAAGGAAGUAGAACCCGGCAAGAGCAAAAUCAAAAGGAGUGAAGUAGAUCCUGGAUGGUUCUGUUAGUGUUACAAGGAAGAUAACAGGUAGGCAAUGCCAAGCAACUUAGAUAAAAGAGAAUAACAAAAGGUUAGAGGGCUAUUGUUUACCGAGAAAGCAAGCGAGUACGAAAAGCCCAUUGGUUUUGGAAUUUCUAGCAGGUUUUAUGA